rnacentral:lncRNA from 1 species
CGAUUGACUAUUCGCAUCUCAUGCACACAUCCAUCUACCCGCUAUGCAUAGGCAUAAACAUUAAACAUCCAGGCAUAUAUAUAAGAAAGUAAAUGUAACUGGUGAUGAUCAUGGAUCCAGGAUGGGUCAUAGUACAAGCACAUGCACGUCAAUUGGUUUGAUCGUCUUCAACUCUUGACUCGAUCUUGAUCCCUUAGGUUCAAUUGUAAUCAACUCCUUGAUCCAUCUUCAAUCAACCUAUGAUCUUGAUCCGUGCAAAGCUU